rnacentral:rRNA from 1 species
UUAAUUAAAAGUAUAUUAUAUUAUAUUACACGAAGUUGGAGGAGCUAAUUAUUUCAUAUUUAUAGAUGUCAAUAUGUAGCAAAAUCAAGUAAGAAGUAAUUAGGAGUGAUAGGCUAAUCAUAUUCAACGAUAACUUGAUGGUUAUGAAAGGUAUAAAGUACAUAGGCGUUUUUAAAAUGACAAGGUUUUAAAAAGUAACAAAUGGGUUUUCAAAAUUUGUAUCUUGUUUAACCAUUAAUGCAAAGUUAAAGUAGUAUUAAUUUAUUUUAUUUGUUAAUAUUAUUAACCAAUCUAGAAACAAUAACAAUAUAUAUAUAAUGUUAAUAUAAGUAUUAUAGAAGUUGUAUAUAAUGAACUCGGCAAAAAGUCUUUCAACUGUUUAUCAAAAACAUAGCUGUGUGAACUAAUAUACGGUGUUUUCUGCUCAAUGAAUAUUAAAUAGCCGCAGUACCCUGACUGUGCUAAGGUAGCGCAAUCAAUUGACUUUUAAAUGGAGUCCAGUAUGAAAGAAAUAAUGGAGGGCUACUUUCUAAUUAACAAUCGUAGAAUUUACUAAAGAAGUGCAAAUUCUUCUAUAUUAACAAUAGACGAGAAGACCCUAGAAAUUUUAUAGAAGUAACUUUUUGUUGGGGCAACAAAGUAGUAUUAUAAAUCUACUAUUAUAACAAGAAAGACAUAUUUUGGAAGAUUAAAUUACUCUAGGGAUAACAGCAUAAUUAAUAAUAGUUUGUGACCUCGAUGUUGGAUUAGGGUAUUUACAUUUAGAAG